CGGCGGUGGAGACACCGCGGGAGGAAAGUCCGGGCAGCAGAGAGUCGCCAUACUUCCUAACGGGAAGGGGCCCGCCGCGCAAGCGGCGGGCCACAGAGAGCGCCACAGAGAAGAUACCGCCGCGGAAGCGGUAAGGGUGAAAACGCGAGGUAAGAGCUCACGACGGGUGCAGUGAUGUACCUGAUGGCAAGCCUUAUGGGCUGAAAGACCAAAUAUACCGGCAGAAAAGGGUUGACUCGCCCGUUGCCGGGGGGUAGGUUGAUUGAGGCAUUCGGCGACGGAUGUCCUAGAUUAAUGAUAGGGGUCCGCGGAAGCGGAAACAGAACCCGGCUUACAGGCUGC
rnacentral:RNase_P_RNA from 1 species